CACGUAGGGCGCAAGCGUUGUCCGGAAUUAUUGGGCGUAAAGAGCUCGUAGGCGGACUGUUGCGUCCGCUGUGAAAGCUGGGGCUUAACCCUGGCCUUGCAGUGGAUACGGGCAGACUAGAGGUAGGUAGGGGAGAAUGGAAUUCCCGGUGUAGCGGUGAAAUGCGCAGAUAUCGGGAAGAACACCCGUGGCGAAGGCGGCUCUCUGGGACGGUACUGACGCUGAGACGCGAAAGCGUGGGGAGCGAACAGG
rnacentral:rRNA from 1 species